GGGCCCGUGGCUUAACCUGGUUAUAGCUCUGCUCUGAUAAGGCAGAGGUUCUGUGUUCAAAUCACAGCGGGCCCA
rnacentral:tRNA from 2 species